rnacentral:rRNA from 1 species
AUGGCCGAGCUCGCGGAGAACCUCUUCCUCCGCCUUGCGCCGGAGCUGGUUGAUGCGGUGCUCCUCCGCCUCCCGCCGGGAGAGCCCGCCUGCCUCGUCCGCGCCUCCGUCGUCUGCAAGCCCUGGUUCCGCAUCCUCGCCGAUCCGGGAUUCCGCCGCCGCUACCUCGAGUUCCACCGGACGCCCUCCGUCCUGGGGCUCUACGAGGACGACGGCGCCUACGUCCCCACCUCCGCCCUCCCCUCCGUCCACCCCGGCCGUGGCCGCUUGGUCGACAGGCCCCUGGACUGCCGCCACGGCCGCGCGCUCCUCGCCCCCUACAGCCGCUCCUUCAGGGAAGGGAAUGCCGUCAUCCUGACCGUCCUGGACCCUCUCACUGGCCGCGUGCGCCGCGUGCUCUCUCCGGUCGACGAACAUGUGCUCUGGUUCAGUGCGGCGGUGCUCUGCGCCGCACAAGGCUGCGACCACUAUGGUUGCCAAGGAGGGCACUUCCGCCUGGCCGUCGUGACCACAAAUGAUGUAGGAGUCACGUCGGGCUGGCUGUACUCGUCGGAGACUCGCGUGUGGAGCGUGCUCGCCACCGUUGGUCACCCCAAAGUCGCCUACUAUGCCAACCAAGGUGCUCCAAGCGUCCUUGUCGGGGACGCGCUCUACUUCGACAUCGAUGGCAUCGUCGAGCUUCACCUCGGUAAACUCUGCUUGUCAAAGUUUGAGAAGCCGGUCGCUGGCAAGGGGCGUCUCAUGACGGCGCAAGGCGGUGGGCUCGGAUUCAUUGCUAUGGUGGAUGUCACAAAUCUAACCCUGUGGUCAGGGGAGGCUGGGCCAAAGGGAGCCAUGGUAUGGACAAAGCUCAGGGUAAUCGAUCUUAAGAAGCUGCUCCCUGCCGGGGCCCUCAUGACCCAAACAGUUGAUUAUGGGAUUAAUGGCGUAGCGGAGGGCACCCAAGUCAUUUUUGUGAGCACAUUUAUUGGUUCCUACAUGGUCGAUCUCAAGUCUCGACAAGUCAGGAUAGUGUCUGGUCGUGCCAGAAACAUCACUCCCUACAUGAGCUUCUACAUCCCAGCAAUUAAAGCAGCUUCCACUAGCCAGGGGCAGAGAGCUGGUGCUUCAAGUGUUCGCCGGGCUGGAGCAAGAGGGAGGCGGUAG